rnacentral:rRNA from 1 species
UAAUACGUAGGGGGCUAGCGUUGUCCGGAUUUACUGGGCGUAAAGGGUGAGUAGGCGGUUGCAUAUGUCAGAUGUAAAAGGCACAGGCUUAACUUGUGUUAGCAUUUGAAACUGUGCGACUUGAGUGCAGGAGAGGUAAGUGGAAUUCCUAGUGUAGCGGUGAAAUGCGUAGAUAUUAGGAGGAACACCAGUGGCGAAGGCGACUUACUGGACUGUAACUGACGCUGAGUCACGAAAGCGUGGGUAGCAAACAGG